AUUGAACGCUGGCGGCAGGCCUAACACAUGCAAGUCGAACGAGUGGCGGACGGGUGAGUAAUGUCUGGGAAACUGCCUGAUGGAGGGGGAUAACUACUGGAAACGGUAGCUAAUACCGCAUACCAUCGGAUGUGCCCAGAUGGGAUUAGCUAGUAGGUGGGGUAAAGGCUCACCUAGGCGACAAUCCUUAGCUGGUCUGAGAGGAUGACAAGCAACACGGGAACUGAGACACGGUCCAGACGCCUACGGGAGGAAGCAGGGGGGAAGAGUGCACAAUGGGCGAAAGCCUGAUGCAGCCAUGCCGCGUGGAUGAAGAAGGCCUUCGGGUUUUAAAGUACUUUCAGCGGGGAGGCGUUACCCGCAGAAGAAGCACCGGCUAACUCCGUGCCAGCCGCCGCGGUAAUAC
rnacentral:rRNA from 1 species